GCCUUCGUGGUGUAAAGGUCAAGCACGCUCAGCGCGUAUUCGAGAAGUCCGUGGUUCGAAUCCCGGUGAGGGCA
rnacentral:tRNA from 1 species